GAUGAACGCUGGCGGCGUGCUUAACACAUGCAAGUCGAACGAAGCACUUUAUUUGAUUUCCUUCGGGAUUGAUUAUUUUGUGACUGAGUGGCGGACGGGUGAGUAACGCGUGGGUAACCUGCCUUGUACAGGGGGAUAACAGUUGGAAACGGCUGCUAAUACCGCAUAAGCGCACAGCAUCGCAUGAUGCAGUGUGAAAAACUCCGGUGGUAUAAGAUGGACCCGCGUUGGAUUAGCUAGUUGGUGAGGUAACGGCCCACCAAGGCGACGAUCCAUAGCCGACCUGAGAGGGUGACCGGCCACAUUGGGACUGAGACACGGCCCAAACUCCUACGGGAGGCAGCAGUGGGGAAUAUUGCACAAUGGGCGAAAGCCUGAUGCAGCGACGCCGCGUGAGCGAAGAAGUAUUUCGGUAUGUAAAGCUCUAUCAGCAGGGAAGAU
rnacentral:rRNA from 1 species